UACGUAGGUGGCAAGCGUUGUCCGGAUUUAUUGGGUUUAAAGGGUGCGUAGGUUGUUUUGUAAGUCAGUGGUGAAAUCCGGCAGCUCAACUGUCGAUGUGCCAUUGAUACUGCAGAACUUGAGUACAGACGAGGUAGGCGGAAUUGACGGUGUAGCGGUGAAAUGCUUAGAUAUCGUCAAGAACACCGAUAGCGAAGGCAGCUUACUAGACUGUAACUGACACUGAUGCACGAAAGUGUGGGGAUCAAACAGG
rnacentral:rRNA from 1 species